GGCAAACGAAGAAAAACCGACUUCAAUUAUAUCGACAAGUAAUACAACGUAGGUAGACAAAAAAAUGUCAAGUAAAUACGCAUUAUCAAAGAUUACUCCAAUAACCAUUAAACCAAUCAAUCAAUCAAGAUUAUUCCAAAAGUUGUAAUCAGAUCUCUAUGAAAUUUAAAUGUGACCAGAUGAUAAACAUCGGCUUUCGAUUAAAUUAAAAAUCAUCAAAAUCG
rnacentral:misc_RNA from 1 species